rnacentral:tRNA from 14 species
ACAAGAUUGCAAAUCUUGUAAUAAGGGUUCAAGUCCCUUUCUAA